rnacentral:piRNA from 1 species
UGAAAUAGACCCUAUUGUUACUGUACCUGAC